ensembl:ribozyme
GUACCUUGGCAAGGGGCCAUAGCAGGAGCUUUCACGUGGCUGUCCCUGUCAGCCUUAAAGAUUGCAAAUCCUGCU